rnacentral:rRNA from 1 species
UACGUAGGGGGCAAGCGUUGUCCGGAAUCAUUGGGCGUAAAGCGCGCGUAGGCGGCCAGAUAAGUCCGGUGUGAAAGUCACAGGCUCAACCUGUGAAUGCCGCUGGAAACUGUCUGGCUUGAGUCCGGAAGGGGCGAGUGGAAUUCCCGGUGUAGCGGUGAAAUGCGCAGAUAUCAGGAGGAACACCGGUGGCGAAGGCGGGUCUCUGGGCCGAUACUGACGCUGAGGAGCGAAAGCGUGGGGAGCGAACAGG